CCUACGGGAGGCAGCAGUGAGGAAUAUUGGUCAAUGGGCGAGAGUCUGAACCAGCCAAGUAGCGUGAAGGAUGACGGCCCUAUGGGUUGUAAACUUCUUUUAUAUGGGAAUAAAAUGUGCCACGUGUGGGAUUUUGUAUGUACCAUAUGAAUAAGGAUCGGCUAACUCCGUGCCAGCAGCCGCGGUAAUACGGAGGAUCCGAGCGUUAUCCGGAUUUAUUGGGUUUAAAGGGAGCGUAGGUGGAUUGUUAAGUCAGUUGUGAAAGUUUGCGGCUCAACCGUAAAAUUGCAUUGGAAACUGGCCGUCUUGAGUACAGUAGAGGUGGGCGGAAUUCGUGGUGUAGCGGUGAAAUGCUUAGAUAUCACGAAGAACUCCGAUUGCGAAGGCAGCUUACUGGACUGCAACUGACAUUGAGGCUCGAAAGUGUGGGUAGCAAACAGGAUUAGAUACCCGUGUAGUC
rnacentral:rRNA from 1 species